AGCGUACCUUCCAAUGCCUUCGAAUUAAUUUUUUCGUUUGUGGAGGCUCCGUUUGCUUGUGCACCUCAUGCUGUACCUGCAAGGAAUGUUGAGGUCCUGCACGGCAAGGGCAAGCACUAAUUAUUUCUCGUUUUUUGAGGCCCCGUUUGCAAAGCACCUCAUGCAUUGCAAGGAAUGUGGAUAAUCUCUGCUAAUGUUGCUGCCAGGGCAUCCAACCAAUGAAGACCUGCUCAAUUGGGUUUUGAAGAGCCGAACGCCGAGCUCCGUGAUGCAGGUUCUGCAGCUGUUUAUCUAUUUUAUUCUUUUUUGCCCUUCCGCACUUGCUUUGUAAAAGAGGGGGACCGCACUUUCAACAAUGCCAAAGGAGCAUUUACAGGUUUCUGAAUAUCAGGCUCUGUUUGCGUGAGCAUCUCAUGCUUUGCAAGGUCGCGCAAAAAUUUGAGAGCACGGAGGCCCGUUUCAUUGGCGAUAAGGUGAAAACGGAAGAUGCGGUGCGGGCUGUGCAUUCAGCAAAUUUGUGCGAGCCAGCGGGCGGGGUUUAGCCUGUGCAGUGAGACAUGAAAAUGCUUUGGAAGAAAUGUUGAGAUCCUCCACGGCAAGCACGGCUUCUGGAUAAUCUCUGUCAAGAUGUAUCUGAAGAAACAUCUUGAGUAGGGUUUGAGAAGCAGAAUGCCGAGCUCAUUGCAAUGUCCGAACUGCAGCAGCAGAGCACCAGAAUUUCGGCACUCAUUAUUCAAAUUGGGGGAACCCUCAGUCCUGUUUGCGUUCAAAGAGGGUCAUCAGCACUGCCUGCUUUUAACUGUAUUAGAUAGUCAGCCGAUUUGUGCAACUAUGACAUUGCCGAUGACUUGCUCUGUAAAAGAGGGAGUCCGGGCGUCCAAGGAUGCCAAAGGGGCCUCUCUGGAUAUCUGAAGUGUUUCUGCAACACUGAUUCUUUAGUUUUUUCGCCCACGCCACUAUUUUCGAAGCAGAGGACCUGCCACCUGGGAAUGCAGAAGAACAAAUCGGGCGCCUUUGAUGGGCACAUGGUGCGGAACUGGGGAGCGGAUCAAUGUGAUCCAUACUGUGCAGGUUAGAAAAUUUGACAUGGUAUCAGAGCCUGGAGCUAGAAGGAAGGAGCCACAACAAUUAUUUGCAGGCAGAUUUUUGAAGAUUACCAUGAUCACAAAAGCUGAUGUAGAUCUCUAUUUCUAAAUGCAUGCAUAUUCUUCCCCUCAUUUUUUGCAUGCUCCUUGU